GAGUAGCUGGGAUUACAGGCACCCGCCAUCAUGUCCAGCUAAUUUUUGUAUAUUUGUAGAGACGGGGUUUCACCAUGUUGGCCAGACUGGUCUUGAACUCCUGACCUCAGACGAGGGAACUGAGCUGUCAAAACUAAGUGACUUGAUUGAGGCCAUGCAGCUGGCGAGGGGAGGACCAGGAUCUGAACCCAACUGGGUCUCCCAAGCCUGGGCCACUGAACCAUUUCACCUCUUGGAAAAACUUAAUGGUCAGAGUGGCCCACCCAGUCCAUGGACAGCAUGGAGGAUAAACUGCUUCCCUAGAAAUCCUCUCCAGCAUUCUUGCCACCACGACUUUGGGACACAUUGACCAUGAGGAGGAGCUGGUCAAUGAUGGACAGGAGUCCAGAUUAGCAGAGAUGUGGUAAUAAGGACACCGAUGCCUAAAUACUUGAAAUAUCCAAUAGGAAGCAUUCCACCUUUGUGCAAAUGCGAACCACAUCUCACCAAGUUCAGGCCAAGGCUGCCACCGGUGACGUUUUGGAAAAGAAAAAAAAAAGCGGGGGGAGAGGAGAGAAACAGAGAAGCAAGGAAUGCAGAAGAGAGCAGAGGCCACAAAAACAGCAGCAACGUGUCCUGUGUAUUCUGUUUCCUUGUAAAACUAUGAAGCAUGUUAAGGAGAUACUUCAUUUUUUGAGGAUUCAUACUCUUGUUUAUAUUAUAAUAAAAACAACCCAUGUUCUUUCUAAAAAUUUAGGCAAUGCCUUCGUGCACAUAAAAGUAAAACAAAAUCACCUGUAAUCCUACCACACGCAGAUCAGCACUUGCUAAUCUUUUCACAGGGAUCCUAAGAAUAUCCUAUUCUCUAUAGAAUAUAGUUGAUUUAUGUUACCUAAUAACUAACUGUUAACCAUUUUAAAAUUCUUCAGUUUUACAUUAUGCUAGAAAAAAGGAGCCGUCACUCUACGUGACAUUUCUGUAUAUUGGUUUAUUCAUUCAAUAAACAUUUUUUAAGUA
rnacentral:lncRNA from 1 species